rnacentral:rRNA from 1 species
GAGUUUGAUCCUGGCUCAGGAUGAACGCUGGCGGCGUGCCUAAUACAUGCAAGUCGAGCGAACAGAUAAGGAGCUUGCUCCUUUGACGUUAGCGGCGGACGGGUGAGUAACACGUGGGUAACCUACCUAUAAGACUGGAAUAACUCCGGGAAACCGGGGCUAAUGCCGGAUAAUAUUUAGAACCGCAUGGUCCUAAAGUGAAAGAUGGUUUUGCUAUCACUUAUAGAUGGACCCGCGCCGUAUUAGCUAGUUGGUGGGGUAAUGGCUUACCAAGGCAACGAUACGUAGCCGACCUGAGAGGGUGAUCGGCCACACUGGAACUGAGACACGGUCCAGACUCCUACGGGAGGCAGCAGUAGGGAAUCUUCCGCAAUGGGCGAAAGCCUGACGGAGCAACGCCGCGUGAGUGAUGAAGGUCUUCGGAUCGUAAAACUCUGUUAUUAGGGAAGAACAAAUGUGUAAGUAACUGUGCACGUCUUGACGGUACCUAAUCAGAAAGCCACGGCUAACUACG